rnacentral:rRNA from 1 species
UACGUAGGGUGCAAGCGUUGUCCGGAAUUAUUGGGCGUAAAGAGCUCGUAGGCGGUUUGUCGCGUCUGCUGUGAAACCCGAGGCUCAACCUCGGGCCUGCAGUGGGUACGGGCAGACUAGAGUGCGGUAGGGGAGACUGGAAUUCCUGGUGUAGCGGUGAAUGCGCAGAUAGUCCGAGGAGGAACACCGGUGGCGAAGGCGGAUCUCUGGGCCGAUUAACUGACGCUGAGGAGCGAA